GUCACCUAGGGACCUUGUUAAAAUGCAGAUUCUGAUUCAGUGGAUGGGGCCUGAGAGUCUGCAUUUCUAGCAAGUCCCAGGUAAGCUGG
rnacentral:pre_miRNA from 1 species